GUACUCAUUUGAGCAGCAUGUAUAGUAUAAUUGGAUUGAUUCAGAGAAGAUUAACAUGGCUUCUGUGCAAAGAUGAUACACAAAUUCACAAAACAUUUCAUAAUUUU
rnacentral:snRNA from 1 species